rnacentral:rRNA from 1 species
AGCGAACGCUGGCGGCAGGCCUAACACAUGCAAGUCGAACGAAGUCUUCGGACUUAGUGGCGGACGGGUGAGUAACACGUGGGAACGUACCUUUUGGUUCGGAACAACUCAGGGAAACUUGAGCUAAUACCGGAUGAGCCCUUAGGGGGAAAGAUUUAUCGCCGAAAGAGCGGCCCGCGUUAGAUUAGCUAGUUGGUGAGGUAAAGGCUCACCAAGGCUACGAUCUAUAGCUGGUCUGAGAGGAUGAUCAGCCACACGGGGACUGAGACACGGCCCAGACUCCUACGGGAGGCAGCAGUGGGGAAUCUUGCGCAAUGGGCAAAAGCCUGACGCAGCCAUGCCGCGUGAAUGAUGAAGGUCUUAGGAUUGUAAAAUUCUUUUACCAGGGACGAUAAUGACGGUACCUGGAGAAAAAGCCCCGGCUAACUUCGUGCCAGCCGCCGCCGUAACAC